UUGGGUGCCCGGAUUUUGGAUAUGUAUUUUUGUUGCUUGCCCUGUUUAUUAGGAUAAGUUGAAAAAAAUAAAAAUGGUACUAAUGCAAAGAGAAGUUUAUGAUGCUUAUUUACAACAUUAUAUACAAACUACACAAUCAAGCACAUUACCAAAGGAUCCAACUGCAGAGUUAAAGGUUGAAUGAAUAGACUCGUGAAAAAUAAAUGUUUCCCAGAUGCUUGGAGGUACACAACAGUGAAAGUACCAACCUACCCAAGACUCUUUGCAUACAUCAAGACACAUAAGGACUCAGUAACAGCUAGACCCAUACUAGAGAAAAGAACAGCCCCCUACUUACAACCUAGAAAGAAAAAUAGUAAAUUGGACUAUGAAAAUUUUAGGCCAAAUGCACAAUUCAAC
rnacentral:lncRNA from 1 species